rnacentral:rRNA from 1 species
ACUCUGUUGUUAAAGUAAGAACACGUAUGAGAGUAAACUGUUCAUACGUUGACGGUAGUUUAACCUAGAAAGUCAACGGCUAACUACGUGCCAGCAGCCGCGGUAAUACGUAGGUGGCGAAGCGUUAUCCGGAUUUAUUGGGCGUAAGAGAGUGCAGGCGGUUUCGUUAAGUCUGAUGUGAAAGACUUCGGCUUAACCGGACGAAGUAGCAUCGGAAACUAGGAUAACUUAGAGUGCAGAAGAGGGUAGGUGGAACGUCCAUGUGUAGCGGUGGAAGUGCGUAGAUAUAUGGAAGGAACAACCAGUGGCGAAGGCGGCGUACCUCGGUCUGCAACUGACGCUGAGACUCGAAAGCAUGGGUAGCGAACAGGAUUAGAUACCCUGGUAG